rnacentral:rRNA from 1 species
GUGCCAGCCGCCGCGGUAAUACGGAGGAUCCGAGCGUUAUCCGGAUUUACUGGGUUUAAAGGGUGCGUAGGCGGGUCGUUAAGUCGGCGGUGAAAUGCGGGGGCUCAACCUUCGAGCUGCCGCCGAAACUGGCGACCUUGAAUUCGGUCGAGGCCGGCGGAAUGCGUGGUGUAGCGGUGAAAUGCUUAGAUAUCACGCGGAACGCCGAUUGCGAAGGCAGCUGGCCGGGCCGAGAUUGACGCUGAGGCACGAAAGCGUGGGGAUCAAACAGG